CUUGGUGAAAGAAACCAUGAUGAACACGUUUGACAGCAUAUGUGUAUAUCUAAUGAUGUUUACAGCUGCAUGUCUGGGUAAAACUGUUGUCCAGACGCCUGCUAACCUCAUCAAGAAUCAAGAUGAAUCUGCUGUGAUCAUAUGUGCUCACAAUGUACAGAGCUCUGAACGAAUAUUGUGGUACAAACAAAGUCAGGACUUGUCGGGCUUCAAGUUGAUGGGAUACCUUUAUUACAAAGCUAAUACUAGCGAGCCUGAAUUUUUAAACAAGAUCAUAUUGGAGGGAGAUGCAGAGAAAAAUGGCACUCUGACUAUCAAGAACCUCAUGCUGAAUGACAGUGCAGUGUAUUUCUGUGCAGCAUAUGACACAGUGCUCAGAAUCACAUCUGUCUAAUACAAAAACUUGUGAAAAGCAAAUUUAUGUUUCU